rnacentral:rRNA from 1 species
GACGAACGCUGGCGGCGUGCUUAACACAUGCAAGUCGAACGGAAAGGCCCUGCUUUUGUGGGGUGCUCGAGUGGCGAACGGGUGCGUAACACGUGAGUAACCUGCCCUUGACUUUGGGAUAACUUCAGGAAACUGGGGCUAAUACCGGAUAGGAGCUCCUGCUGCAUGGUGGGGGUUGGAAAGUUUCGGCGGUUGGGGAUGGACUCGCGGCUUAUCAGCUUGUUGGUGGGGUAGUGGCUUACCAAGGCUUUGACGGGUAGCCGGCCUGAGAGGGUGACCGGCCACAUUGGGACUGAGAUACGGCCCAGACUCCUACGGGAGGCAGCAGUGGGGAAUAGUGCACAAUGGGCGGAAGCCUGAUGCAGCAACGCCGCGUGCGGGAUGACGGCCUUCGGGGUGUAAACCGCUUUCGCCUGUGACGAAGCGUGAGUGACGGUAAUGGGUAAAGAAGCACCGGCUAACUACGUG